rnacentral:rRNA from 1 species
CACGGAUAACAUACCGAAAGGUAUGCUAAUACGGGAUAAUAUAUUUGAGAGGCAUCUCUUGAAUAUCAAAGGUGAGCCAGUACAGGAUGGACCCGCGUCUGAUUAGCUAGUUGGUAAGGUAAAGGCUUACCAAGGCGACGAUCAGUAGCCGACCUGAGAGGGUGAUCGGCCACAUUGGAACUGAGACACGGUCCAAACUCCUACGGGAGGCAGCAGUGGGGAAUAUUGCACAAUGGGCGAAAGCCUGAUGCAGCAACGCCGCGUGAGUGAUGAAGGCCUUCGGGUCGUAAAACUCUGUCCUCAAGGAAGAUAAUGACGGUACUUGAGGAGGAAGCCCCGGCUAACUACGUGCCAGCAGCCGCGGUAAUACGUAGGGGGCUAGCGUUAUCCGGAUUUACUGGGCGUAAAGGGUGCGUAGGCGGUCUUUCAAGUCAGGAGUGAAAGGCUACGGCUCAACCGUAGUAAGCUCUUGAAACUGGGAGACUUGAGUGCAGGAGAGGAGAGUGGAAGUCCUAGUGUAGCGGUGAAAUGCGUAGAUAUUAGGAGGAACACCAGUUGCGAAGGCGGCUCUCUGGACUGUAACUGACGCUGAGGCACGAAAGCGUGGGGAGCAAACAGGAUUAGAUACCCUGGUAGUCCACGCUGUAAACGAUGAGUACUAGGUGUCGGGGGUUACCCCCUUCGGUGCCGCAGCUAACG